rnacentral:misc_RNA from 1 species
UUACGCGGUUACCCCUUGACU